AUUGAACGCUGGCGGCAGGCCUAACACAUGCAAGUCGAACGAGGGGCGGACGGGUGAGUAAUGUCUGGGAAACUGCCUGAUAGAGGGGGAUAACUACUGGAAACGGUGGCUAAUACCGCAUACUAUCGGAUGAACCCAUAUGGGAUUAGCUAGUAGGUGGGGUAACGGCUCACCAAGGCGACGAUCCCUAGCUGGUCUGAGAGGAUGAUCAGCGACACUGGCACUGAGACACGGCCCAGAGUCCUACGGCAGGCAGCAGUGGGGAAUAUUGCACAAUGGGCGCAAGCCUGAUGCAGCCAUGCCGCGUGUAUGAAGAAGGCCUUAUGGUUUUACAGUACUUUCAGCGGGGAGGCGUUACCCGCAGAAGAAGCACCGGCUAACUCCGUGCCAGCAGCCGCGGUAAUAC
rnacentral:rRNA from 1 species